AAUGAACGCUGGCGGCGUGCGUAACACAUGCAAGUCGAACGAGAAAUUCCGGGCUUGCUCGGGAGAGUAAAGUGGCGAACGGGUGAGUAACGCGUGGGUAACCUGCCCCUGAAUCUGGAAUAACUUCGCGAAAGCGAGGCUAAUACCGGAUAUGGUCCCAGGGACUGUGGUCCUUGUGAUGAAAGAUGACCUCUUCACGAAAGUUGUCGUUCAGGGAGGGGCCCGCGUACCAUUAGCUAGUUGGUAGGGUAAUGGCUUACCAAGGCGAUGAUGGUUAGCGGGGCUGAGAGGAUGACCAGCCACACUGGCACUGAAACACGGGCCAGACUCCUACGGGAGGCAGCAGUGAGGAAUUUUGCGCAAUAGGGGAAACCCUGACGCAGCAACGCCGCGUGAGUGAAGAAGGCCUUCGGGUCGUAAAGCUCUGUCAAGUGGGAAAAAAGCUUCUUGGUGAAUAGCCAGGAAGACUGAUGGUACCAUUGAAGGAAGCACCGGCUAACUCCGUGCCAGCAGCCGCCGUAAUAC
rnacentral:rRNA from 1 species